AUUGAACGCUGGCGGCAGGCCUAACACAUGCAAGUCGAGCGAGGGGCGGACGGGUGAGUAAUGUAUGGGGACUGCCCGAUAGAGGGGGAAAACUACUGGAAACGGUGGCUAAUACCGCAUACUAUCGGAUAACCCAUAUGGGAUUGGCUAGUAGGUGGGGUAAAGGCUCACCUAGGCGACGCUCUCUAGCUGGUCUGAGAGGAUGAUCAGCCACACUGGGACUGAGACACGGCCCAGACUCCAAGGGAGGCAGCAGUGGGGAAUAUUGCACAAUGGGCGCAAGCCUGAUGCAGCCAUGCCGCGUGUAUGAAGAAGGCCUUCGGGUUGUAAAGUACUUUCAGUGGGGAGGCGUUACUCGCAGAAGAAGCACCGGCUAACUCCGUGCCAGCAGCCGCGGUAAUAC
rnacentral:rRNA from 1 species